GCUGAAAUGAGGAAAUUCAGACAGCAACAACAUGCAGUUUAUUUUAUCGUUGAAUUGUUUUGGCUAUCAGGGUAAAUACAGGAAUGGGUCAAUUUGCUGGUAUCCUAACAACUAAUUAAAACAAAGUUUGAUUUAUCUUAUAAAGUGUUAAAAAUAUAGAUCUGUAUGAUUUAGUUUGCAAGAAUUUUGUUCUUUUUUAAGUUGUUUACCAGGUGUGCUAAAGUUUUACAGAUAGAUUUGUUGGUCCUCAAAGAAAUUAUCAAUCUUUACAUUAUAGUUGCAUUUCAAGUUAAGUGUUUGACCUUAUUAGUAUUACAGGUGUGUUCAAAUUCUUAUUAAUCAAUUCAUUUAAUUUAAAGAGAACAAACAUGACACUAGGUAUAACUGUGCACCACACUGAACAAGGAGUAGAGAAAUCAAAGAUGAGCUGCCUGCAUGAGGUUCAUGGGUCUGUAACCAACUUCCCAGAACAUGGAAGAAAGAAGAAAUGCAACCCCCAUGAUAGGAUGGAUGGUUGUACAAAAAAAGCUAAGAAGACUAAAAAAACUAUUCAAGCUGAACUCCAAAGUCAAAGUAUGUCACUUAAUAAUCACACCUUCCAUUGCAUUUUGAGGCUUUAUGAAAUAAAAUCAAAGAGGGCUCCAAAAUUGGCAAAAAAUGCAAAAGUGCCAAAGUGGAAUUAACAAAAAUGCAUGCUGCUGGGAGUCGUGACACAAAACUGGAGCUCUUGGUCCAGCCAUAUGACUUGUUUAAUUACUGUAAAAUGGGACCAACACAUUUACCUGCCUCUGUAAAUAUAAAAGUUCUCAAUUUAGAACAUAAAAAAGCUGUUACAUAACUUUUAGCUAAAAGACCAUAAAACUGUCGCAUUAAACUGUAGUUUAAAGCUGCUGUAUGUAGUUUCUUGAAAACCCAAAAACUUAGAAAAACUUUGAACUGAUACAACCUUCUAGUCCCUCCCCCUGCUCUCAGCUCCCCUUCCUAAGCUCCUCCCCCACAGCAGGGCCCAGAGUCGGGAGCGCGCACACUUGUAAACCGGAGGUGAGCCACACRGUAACACACAGAGCUCAGAGCUAAGCUGCCGUCACAGCUAGUUUUUGACAAUCAUCAUCUACCAGCUGAUGAGAGAAGCUGUGGUGAAGAAUCACGCAGGUCACUGGGAGACGCAGCAGCGUGGGUUCAGCUCCUGAGAACCUCAGCAGGACAUCUGCAUCUCAACCCUACCUUCCACUCAUCAAACCAUAUAUUCUGCAGGCAGGAGUCUUGUUUCUGGCCAGGAGGAUCUGUAGCUGAGCUUACAGAUGAUGCUGAAGACAACAGGCAGUUUGUGCCUUUGUACUUCUGGUCAGAGCAGGCUGCUGAGUGUGGACUUCAAGGACUGUUUUUAAACAUCUUCAUGGACUGUACAGUGGAUUUAUUCCCUUGAGGCUAUACAUUUUUAAUACUGUCUUGCCAUGUAUAAAACAUUUUCCUAUUUAAAUUAAUAUUUCUAUUAUAAUUUUGGUAAAUAUUCUUCAAUAAAGUGUUAAAUG